rnacentral:hammerhead_ribozyme from 1 species
AUCCAACUGACGAAUCCGAAAUAGGACAAAACGCGCGUCCUGAAU